UAGGGAAUCUUCCGCAAUGGGCGAAAGCCUGACGGAGCAACGCCGCGUGAGUGAUGAAGGUCUUAGGAUCGUAAAACUCUGUUAUUAGGGAAGAACAAACGUGUAAGUAACUGUGCACGUCUUGACGGUACCUAAUCAGAAAGCCACGGCUACCUACGUGCCCGCAGCCGCGGUAAUACGUAGGUGGCAAGCGUUAUCCGGAAUUAUUGGGCGUAAAGCGCGCGUAGGCGGUUUUUUAAGUCUGAUGUGAAAGCCCACGGCUCAACCGUGGAGGGUCAUUGGAAACUGGAAAACUUGAGUGCAGAAGAGGAAAGUGGAAUUCCAUGUGUAGCGGUGAAAUGCGCAGAGAUAUGGAGGAACACCAGUGGCGAAGGCGACUUUCUGGUCUGUAACUGACGCUGAUGUGCGAAAGCGUGGGGAUCAAACA
rnacentral:rRNA from 1 species